UACGAAGGGACCUAGCGUAGUUCGGAAUUACUGGGCUUAAAGAGUUCGUAGGUGGUUGAAAAAGUUGGUGGUGAAAUCCCAGAGCUUAACUCUGGAACUGCCAUCAAAACUUUUCAGCUAGAGUAUGAUAGAGGAAAGCAGAAUUUCUAGUGUAGAGGUGAAAUUCGUAGAUAUUAGAAAGAAUACCAAUUACGAAGGCAGCUUUCUGGAUCAUUACUGACACUGAGGAACGAAAGCAUGGGUAGCGAAGAGGAUUAGAUACCCUCGUAGUCCAUGCCGUAAACGAUGUGUGUUAGACGUUGGAAAUUUAUUUUCAGUGUCGCAGCGAAAGCGAUAAACACACCGCCUGGGGAGUACGACCGCAAGGUUAAAACUCAAAUGAAUUGACGGGGACCCGCACAAGUAGUGGAGCAUGUGGUUUAAUUCGAAGAUACGCGCAGAACCUUACCAACACUUGACAUGUUCGUCGCGACUCUAAGAGAUUAGAGUUUUCGGUUCGGCCGGACGAAACACAGGUGCUGCAUGGCUGUCGUCAGCUCGUGUCGUGAGAUGUUGGGUUAAGUCCCGCAACGAGCGCAACCCUCACUUUUAGUUGCCAUCAUUAAGUUGGGCACUCUGAAAGAACUGCCAGUGAUAAGCUGGAGGAAGGUGGGGAUGACGUCAAGUCCUCAUGGCCCUUACGUGUUGGGCUACACACGUGCUACAAUGGUAUCUACAACAGGAAGCAAGACUGCGAAGUUAAGCAAAUCCCUAAAAGAUACCUCAGUUCGGAUUGCACUCUGCAACUCGAGUGCAUGAAGCUGGAAUUACUAAUAAUCGUGGAUCAGCGUGCCACGGUGAAUGCGUUCCCGGGUCU
rnacentral:rRNA from 1 species